UCACUCCACGUCCCCAGCCAGCCCCAAACUGACUCACCCUCCAGCCCCUCCUCCUCUGGGCUUUGUCCCUUUCCGGGGCCAGGAGGUCACCUGAUUCCUUUGUUCUCCAACCCUUUAGCUCUCACCUUGCAGGGGGGAAGGGCCCAGGCCAUCAGUUGACAGGAGAUAGAGUGUCGGCCAUUUAUGUACACUGGCCCCUUUGCUCUGCAACAAUUACACCCCCUUAUCCCACCACCUAGAGACUUAAGAAAUGCAUAGGGGAAACUGAGGCACCCCUACAGUAUUCAGAGGAAACAUUAAGAACAGUCCCGCUUUGUCACAGCCCCUCAAUCCUGACCCACAGUCCCCUGCUAUUCUAGCCUGAACGCUAGUUUACAGACUCACCUCACACAACAACAAUAGCUAGAGAUUUUUAAUGCUGGGAGCCAAUUCCACAUUCUGUUUGCCUUCUCUCUGGGUGGCUCCUGCUCUGCCCUUCUCUCCAGUCCCAGAAACAGCAGCUUUGUCGGACCAGAAACUCAUUUGCAGGCAAGAAGAUAAAAAUCUAGCUGUGUUGGCCCCAUUGUGCAUGUCUGGAUUUGUGGCGUGUUCCCUGCAGGAGCUAGAGAAGCAGUAUGCCCCCAGCCGGUGGUCUCACCGCAUGGACAAGGAGGCUGUGAUAGAGGCCCAUGUCAGGGAGGUGACUGAAGGCACCAGGAGGGCCCAGGCCACCAUGCAGACCGUGCUACAUGUCCCUUACGGGGGUAGUGAUGGGGAGAAACUGGACAUUUACUUACCCACAGAUCCCUCUGAAGCCUUCCCACUCGUCCUGUAUAUCCACGGUGGAUACUGGCAGUUUUUAAGUAAGGAGGUGUCGGGCUUUAUAACGCCUCCUCUGGUGACACAGGGCAUUGCGGUGGUGGCGGUCGGAUAUGAUCUGGCUCCAAAAGGCCACCUGGAUCUGAUGGUGGCGCAGGUUCGGCACAGUGUGGCCUUCAUUGUGCAGCAGUAUUCAAAGAUCAGCGGAGUUUACCUGUGUGGACACUCAGCAGGGGCUCACCUGGCAGCCAUGGUGCUCUCAACUGACUGGGAGGAGUACGGAGUGACACCAGACAUAAAAGGAGCUUUUCUGGUGAGUGGAGUCUAUGACCUUGAACCCAUCACGCACACCUCCGUGAACAACCUGCUCCAGAUGAGCCGGGAGGUCGCCCGGAGGAACAGCCCCAUCCUGUGUGUGACAGCAGCAAAGCCUGCCAGGAAGGCCUGUGAGGUGCUGAUCGCUGUGGCCCAACACGACUCGCCAGAAUUCCACAGACAAUCCCAAGAGUAUUUCCAGGUUCUGCUCCCAGCAGCCCCACCAUCUUUACGUUUCACGCUCGCGUGUGUGCAUCCUCGGGCGUGCGAGGGGAAGUCAGCGGCAGGACCCCAGCCCAGCCUUGCGCUCAGCUGGCUGGAGAGUCUCUCUGCUGGACAUUGCUGACACAGAUCACUUUGACGUCAUUGAGAAGUUAUACCAGGGGGGCUAUAUCCUGACUCAGGUGAUUUUGAACAUGAUUUCAAGAGCAUGAUUUGAAAGUGAUGGUGGCAAAAUGGAGGCUGCAACCCACAGUCCCACUGACGAUCAGUCGCUGCCUGGUCCCGUCUGACACUUCCUGUUCCUGGGGCAAGACUAGCAUGUCCCUUGUGCAGCCCUGUCAAAAGUGCCCCGGCUGCUUGGGACAGACAUUUGCCUUUUCUGCCCCUCCCUGACUCUCCACUUCCAGUUCUGUGCAAUCCCUGGUGCUGGCUGGAAAGGAGAAGGGCCAACUCUAGUGGGGCCUAUUAGAAUAUUCUCAAUGGGGCCAGUGGUUCUUGUGCCAGGUUUGCUGGGCACAUCACCCUUGUCACACGGGCUGACACCUGGCUGCAGCAUACUGGCCAGACAGUCCAGUGGGGCUCUCCCCGGCUGUCUGGCUCCACUGUGCAUUUGCCCCCUCACAAUUUCCCUGGAACUGGUUCUUGUGAAUAUUAAAUAAAAUCUGAACAUAAAUAACA